rnacentral:tRNA from 1 species
UGUGGUAUAGCUCAGUGGUGGAGCACUUACCUUACAGUGUAAGGCCCUGAGUUCCAUCCCAGCACCACAA